rnacentral:rRNA from 1 species
UACGUAGGGAGCAAGCGUUGUCCGGAAUCAUUGGGCGUAAAGCGCGCGUAGGUGGCCCCAUAAGUCCGCUGUGAAAGUCAAAGGCUCAACCUUUGAAAGCCGGUGGAUACUGUGGGACUAGAGUACGGAAGAGGCGAGUGGAAUUCCUGGUGUAGCGGUGGAAUGCGCAGAUGUCAGGAGGAACACCAAUAGCGAAGGCAGCUCGCUGGGACGUUACUGACACUGAGGCGCGAAAGCGUGGGGAGCGAACAGG